UCAGAACUAUUGGAAUGCCAUUUACGAA
rnacentral:sRNA from 1 species